UUGUUUUUUUUGAGAUGCCACACCUUUCUCACCUUUCUCCUACCUCUUGCCUUUUCCCAUCUGAUCUCCAAAUCACAGGCUCCUUUCUCAAUGUUCUUCUCUUUUCCCUGCUAAACUAACUCCCUAUCUGGUUCAUCUAUUUCUACAGCUUUUAUUACUAUCCAAAUGUCAGUAUCUCCAAAUUUCCAUCUCCAGACCUGACCCUGAGUUCCAGGCUUGUAU
rnacentral:lncRNA from 1 species